rnacentral:lncRNA from 1 species
GAAUGCUAUGGUAGGGCACAUGGCCAGUGUGAGCGGAGAGAUGAAGUUGGACCCAGGAAGCACUGCUCAAGCAGCAGUGAAGAAAGCCUCUGAGGCUUCUUAGGAGACUGAGCCUGGCUGAGGAAAGGAUCUCUGAUUUGUCAAGAUAAAUUUCAAAACAAGACAAAAAAGCAAAACUGGAGCAGAAUGUCCAAGAGGUACGGUAGCAAGCAUGGUUCAAGAACCUGUGCUGAACCAUGGCUGAAAGAACCAUGAUGCUCAGCAUGAAUGAAGGAAGGCAGAAAGGAAGAGGACAAGGGAGGCGGAAGGAAGGGAUUGAUGAAUGAGACAGGGGGAGGAAGGGAAGAAGAGAACGAAGAAAGAAGAGAAAGAAACUAGAACAAAAUAUUUAAGGAUUGAGGGAAAAGAAGCACUGACUUGCACCGCCGCCUCCCACAAGUGUGAAGGGGAAACGAGCAUCUUGGAAUAAAGAGCCGUGGAUCUGCUGUGUGGUUCCCCAGCGCCAGGGAAGCACUGCCAGGGAACAGUGAGGAUGCUGGGAUGCUCCAACGGUAAUGAUUUGGGCUACUGAUUCUCCACACAACAGUGCCCGUGAACGGUCCUGUCUUUACCACUUCAUGCCAUGGAAGCUAGUCUCUCCCUACAUAUUGAAAAGUUCACCCUCCUGCCACUCACCCACCUCUCACCUGUCGUAAACAUCCCUAAGUGUUGUGUUUAGCUGUUUUCAUCCCCUAUCUUGCCAAGCUUCCUCCCCCAUGUGGCUAUUUUGGGAACAGGGAUACAUUCUAGUUAGUCUGAGCAUCCCCCUCUAACCUAAGUCUCCUGUCAACACUGUAUUCUAGUGAGCGGAGUUCCCCGUGCUCCUCACUCUCCUUUGCUGCAGCACUGAAGACAAGUUUUCAGUCUGGGGUGCAGAUGGUGCUGUAGCCUAGGUUAGCCUCUGCCUUCCUCCUCUGGGAAGCAAGCCUGGCAAUGGGAAGCAAACACCCCCUCCCUCUUUCCCUUUCUGUGUACAGCGAUGGGACUGGUCUCUGUCUUAGUGGGGGAAGCAGAAAGAAGUGAUAGAAUCCCACAAAAUCAAAGUCUUUCUGACACAGAGUCCAGAACUUACAAAGCAGAUCUGUUCCAUCUUUCUCUGACUGGUUCUGAACUCAAGCAGGGAAGGGUGUCUGGGAUUAGGUUCUGAGGCCUUUCUUUCCCUCACGUGCCCAGUUUCUACCCUGAUUAGUCCACCACAGGUCCCUGGCAAAGAUCCUGACUCCCUCUGCCAUCGAAUGUCUUGGCAUUGCAGAUGGUGUUGAAUAUAGCAACAAAUAGUCCAUUUUUGUCAUUUGGAUCAUUAAAAAGCAUCUUUAUUAGUAAUAUGAAUAUUACUAAUUUAAAGAACCAUUCGUACCUAAUCUGGGAGUAAGGUGUCAGAGACACAUGUUUCUGUUCAUUCGAUCUCAAUCAAUGCAGUAGUGAAUGGACUUUGUUUGUUUCCAAAUUACAGCUGCUGUCUAGGCAGCAGAGGUAACUAAAUCAGAUGGUAAUUACACGUUUACUUCUCUCUAAUGGGCUCUUUCUGAGAAGGCAAAAAAUAGCCCUAAAACCUGUCCCUAUGGGCCAGAAAUGUAUGCUUGCCUUCUGGUCAAGAGGACUUAACACAGCAAGCUUAUUUUCUAGACAGAUACCAGGUAGUAAAGUUAAAUCAGGAUCAGUUUAACGAUCAAAACAGUCCCAUAUCCCCCAAAGAAAUAGAAACAGUCAUUAAUAGUCUCCCAACCAAAAAAAGCCCAGGACCAGAUGGGUUUAGUGCAGCGUUCUAUCAGAUGUUCCAAAAAAGAACUAGUUCUAAUACUCCUCAAAUUAUUCCACAAAAUAGAAACAGAAAGUACUCUACCUAAUUCGUUCUAUGAAGCCACAAUUACUCUGAUACCUAAACCACACAAAGACCCAACAAAGAAAGAGAACUCCAGACCAAUUUCCCUUAUGAAUAUUUAUGUAAAAACACUCAAUAAAUUCUUGCAAACAUAAUCCAAGAACACAUCAAAAUGACCAUCCAUCAUGAUCACAUAGGUUUCAUCCCAGGGAUGCAAGGAUGGUUCAAUAUACUGAAACCAUACUGAAAUCAAUGUAAUCCAUUGUAGCCUCCCUCAGCCCUGAAGCAGGCUGAUCCAGAUUUUGACCUUGCUGCCACUGAGAAGGAAAUUACCUAAGGUGGAGCCUUCUGACCUAGAUGGCUCUUUUGUUCUGUCACCUGCCACUGCUCUCUCCAAGACACUACACUGCCUGCUGAGAAGCCCCUGAGACAUUCCUGAGGAACAUCCUAUUCUGCACAUUGCCUACAGGCUGGCUCCAGACACCAAGAAUGGACUGGCGGGGGAUGGGCCUUCCCCUUUUAUAAGUAGACUCUGUUAGUAAACUGGAGGGCCUUGAGCAGAAUCAUGUCUUGGUCU